rnacentral:rRNA from 1 species
UACGAAGGGGGCUAGCGUUGUUCGGAUUUACUGGGCGUAAAGCGCACGUAGGCGGAUCGUUAAGUCGGGGGUGAAAUCCUGGAGCUCAACUCCAGAACUGCCUUCGAUACUGGCGAUCUUGAGUCCGGAAGAGGUGAGUGGAACUCCUAGUGUAGAGGUGGAAUUCGUAGAUAUUAGGAAGAACACCAGUGGCGAAGGCGGCCUCACUGG